rnacentral:rRNA from 1 species
AGAGUUUGAUCAUGGCUCAGGAUGAACGCUAGCGGGAGUAACACAUGCAAGUCGAGGGGUAACAUGAGGUAGCAAUACUUUGAUGACGACCGGCGCACGGGUGAGUAACGCGUAUGUAACCUACCCUGUACAGGGGGAUAGCCCGGAGAAAUUCGGAUUAAUACCCCAUAAAGAUAUUUUGGGGCAUCUUAAGAUAUUUAAAGUUUCGACGGUACGGGAUGGGCAUGCGUGACAUUAGCUAGUUGGUAAGGUAACGGCUUACCAAGGCUGCGAUGUCUAGGGGUCCUGAGAGGGUGAUCCCCCACACUGGUACUGAGACACGGACCAGACUCCUACGGGAGGCAGCAGUGAGGAAUAUUGGUCAAUGGGCGUAAGCCUGAACCAGCCAUCCCGCGUGCAGGAAGACGGCGCUAUGCGUUGUAAACUGCUUUUCCAGGGGAAGAAAACCCUCGACGUGUCGGGGCUUGCCGGUACCCUGGGAAUAAGCAUCGGCUAACUCCGUGCCAGCAGCCGCGGUAAUACGGAGGAUGCGAGCGUUAUCCGGAUUUAUUGGGUUUAAAGGGUGCGUAGGCGGAUUAAUAAGUCAGUGGUGAAAACCUGCAGCUUAACUGUAGAACUGCCAUUGAUACUGUUAGUCUUGAGUACGGUCAAGGUAGGCGGAAUGUGUAAUGUAGCGGUGAAAUGCUUAGAUAUUACACAGAACACCGAUUGCGAAGGCAGCUUACUGGGCCAUUACUGACGCUGAUGCACGAAAGCGUGGGGAGCGAACAGGAUUAGAUACCCUAGUAGUCC